UCGUAGCAAACUAAGAAUACUAGGCACUGCUUUCCGUUAACCAGUGAGACGGUGGGGGAUAAGCUCCAUCGUCGAGAGGGAAACAGCCCAGAUCACCAGCUAAGGCCCCAAAAUGACCGCUAAGUGGCAAAGGAGGUGAGAAUGCUGAAACAACCAGGAGGUUUGCUUAGAAGCAGCCACCCUUUAAAGAGUGCGUAAGAGCUCACUGGUGGAGCGUUCUUGCGCCGAAAAUGAACGGGACUAAGCGGUCUGCCGAAGCUGUGGGUAAUAUCAUUAUUUGAUAUUACGGUAGGGGAGCGUUCCGCUCUAGGGUGAAGCAUCAACGUAAGUUGGUGUGGACAAAGCGGAAGUGAGAAUGUCGGCUUGAGUAACGAAAACAUUGGUGAGAAUCCAAUGCCCCGAAAACCUAAGGCUUCCUCCACUAGGCUCGUCCAUGGGGGGUUAGUCGGGACCUAAGGCCAGGCCGAAAGGCGUAGUCGAUGGAAAACAGGUUAAUAUUCCUGUACUGAUUUUGAAGUGGUACCGAGGGACGAAGGAGGUAACAGUUGGCCAAUAUUGGAUGUUGGCGGAAACGUUCAAGGUGAUGAGAGAUAGAAUAAAAACUAUUCUUGAGCUGAGGCGCGAUACGGUAUUAAUCACUGUAGGCGAGCUUUGCUCAAAUUCAAAUUGAUACUCAAUUAGUUGUCAAACUUCCUAGAAAAGCUCGAACUUCCAAUACUUCAAAAUGACCCGUACCCGAAACCGACACAGGUAGGUAGGUAGAGUAUACCAAGGGGCGCGAGAUAACUCUCUCUAAGGAACUCGGCAAAAUGGCCCCGUAACU
rnacentral:rRNA from 1 species